GUACGGUCGUAAAUGACUAGGUGGCAGAAGCUAUGCGAUCGCUCCAUCACCUCCUAUCAAGGAUGUGAUUGGGCCGCCAUAGGGUUGUCAGCACCAUAAUAGAUGGUCCAUCUUUAGGUAUGUCAAAUGGAAUAAAGAUUUUGUUCUAUGGUUAUACUAUCAAAUGCCCUUUUUUUAAUUUGAAAAGCCUCACAUUCUAACAUAGUAUAAGUAGCAUAUGAGGUGGGCACCUCCUUGUUUGAGAGUGAGGGAAGGGUUGUUACAGCAGCG
rnacentral:lncRNA from 1 species